AUUGAACGCUGGCGGCAUGCCUUACACAUGCAAGUCGAACGGCAGCACGGGUGCUUGCACCUGGUGGCGAGUGGCGAACGGGUGAGUAAUACAUCGGAACGUACCUUAUCGUGGGGGAUAACGCAGCUAAAGCUGUGCUAAUACCGCAUACGCUCUGAGGGGGAAAGCGGGGGAUCGCAAGACCUCGCGCGAUUAGAGCGGCCGAUGCCUGAUUAGCUUGUUGGUGGGGUAAAAGCCCACCAAGGCGACGAUCAGUAGCUGGUCUGAGAGGACGAUCAGCCACACUGGGACUGAGACACGGCCCAGACUCCUACGGGAGGCAGCAGUGGGGAAUUUUGGACAAUGGGGGCAACCCUGAUCCAGCAAUGCCGCGUGAGUGAAGAAGGCCUUCGGGUUGUAAAGCUCUUUUGUCAGGGAAGAAACACCGGCUCUAACACAGUCUGGGAAUGACGGUACCUGAAGAAUAAGCACCGGCUAACUACGUGCCAGCCGCCGCAGUAA
rnacentral:rRNA from 1 species